rnacentral:rRNA from 1 species
GACGAACGCUGGCGGCGCGCCUAACACAUGCAAGUCGAACGAGCGAGAGAGAGCUUGCUUUCUCGAGCGAGUGGCGAACGGGUGAGUAACGCGUGAGGAACCUGCCUCAAAGAGGGGGACAACAGUUGGAAACGACUGCUAAUACCGCAUAAGCCCACGGCUCGGCAUCGAGCAGGGGGAAAAGGAGCAAUCCGCUUUGAGAUGGCCUCGCGUCCGAUUAGCUAGUUGGUGAGGUAACGGCCCACCAAGGCGACGAUCGGUAGCCGGACUGAGAGGUUGAACGGCCACAUUGGGACUGCGACACGGCCCAGACUCCUACGGGAGGCAGCAGUGGGGAAUAUUGCACAAUGGGGGUAACCCUGAUGCAGCGACGCUGCGUGGAGGAAGAAGGUCUUCGGAUUGUAAACUCCUGUUGUUGGGGAAGAUAAUGACGGUACCCAACAAGGAAGUGACGGCUAACUACGUG